rnacentral:tRNA from 1 species
AAAAAGAUAAGCUAAUUAAGCUACUGGGCUCAUACCCCAUCAAUAAAGGUCUCAAUCCUUUUCUUUUUG